rnacentral:rRNA from 1 species
AUUGAACGCUGGCGGCAUGCCUAACACAUGCAAGUCGAGCGAGCGGCGGACGGGAGAGUAAUGUAUGGGGACUGCCCGAUAGAGGGGGACAUAUACUGGGAACGGUCGCUAAUACCGCAUACUAUCGGAAAACCCAUAUGGGAUUAGCUAUUAGGUGAGGUAAUGGCUCACCUAGGGGACGAUCCAUAGCUGGUCUGAGAGGAUGCGCAGCCACACGGGGACUUGGACACGUCCCAUACUCCUACGGAGGCAGCAGUGGGGAAUAUUGCACGGUGGGCGCAGGCCUGAUGCAGCCAGUCCGCGGGUAUGAAGAAGGCCCUAGGGUUGUAAAGUACUUACAGUCGUGGGGCGUUACCGACAGAAUAAGCACCGGCUAACUCCGUGCCAGCAGCCGCGGUAAUAC